UGGGGAAUAUUGCACAAUGGGCGAAAGCCUGAUGCAGCAACGCCGCGUGAGGGACGACGGCCUUCGGGUUGUAAACCUCUUUUAGCAAGGAAGAAGCGAAAGUGACGGUACUUGCAGAAAAAGCGCCGGCUAACUACGUGCCAGCAGCCGCGGUAAUACGUAGGGCGCAAGCGUUAUCCGGAAUUAUUGGGCGUAAAGAGCUCGUAGGCGGUUUGUCGCGUCUGCUGUGAAAACCCGAGGCUCAACCUCGGGCCUGCAGUGGGUACGGGCAGACUAGAGUGCGGUAGGGGAGAUUGGAACUCCUGGUGUAGCGGUGGAAUGCGCAGAUAUCAGGAAGAACACCGAUGGCGAAGGCAGAUCUCUGGGCCGUAACUGACGCUGAGGAGCGAAAGGGUGGGGAGCAAACAGGCUUAGAUACCCUGGUAGUCCACCCCGUAAACGUUGGGAACUAGUUGUGGGGUCCAUUCCACGGAUUCCGUGACGCAGCUAACGCAUUAAGUUCCCCGCCUGGGGAGUACGGCCGCAAGGCUAAAAC
rnacentral:rRNA from 1 species